UUUCAAAGUGCUGGUCUUCAGCCUUUUCUUUUAUGCGUUGCUCCUCUAAGGAAUCCACCAGUUUGUCCCUUUGCUCAAUCACUUGCAUCAUCUCGGUGAGGAUUUGUUGCUCCUCGUUGACAUCAUUCUCAUCUUUCUGGCUCUCUAAAGAAGAAAAAGAAAGAAAGAAAGAAAAACAUUGGACUUCAGUUAAUGACGAGUUGCAGCCCUUUGAAUAGAGACCAGGCGGCCAUCAAGAGAGGCUCUGCUUGGCCACUGGGGGAUGUUUCCAGACAGGCACCCUGCUUCUCCCUUCUGCCUUCUGAAUACGUGGCCUUCUUCCUAACAGCCCGAGACAUUUGACUGCCUCGAGGAGUGUGAUGAAGGUUUCAUGCAAGAUGAGAAGGCAAAAUGAAGGAGCUACAUUCUUUGGUACCUGCUCAGAAGAGUUAGAAAAUGUAUGAACAUCACUUCUUAGUAAGAAUUAAAAAAAUAAAGGGUUCAA